rnacentral:tRNA from 1 species
GGGGGUGCAGCUCAGUGGUAGAGCACUUGCCUAGCUUGUGCAAGACCCUGGGUUCCAUCCCCAGCACUGCAA